rnacentral:rRNA from 1 species
AUUGAACGCUGGCGGCAUGCCUUACACAUGCAAGUCGAACGGUAACGGGCCUUCGGGUGCCGACGAGUGGCGAACGGGUGAGUAAUGUAUCGGAACGUACCUUUCAGUGGGGGAUAACGUAGCGAAAGUUACGCUAAUACCGCAUAUUCUGUGAGCAGGAAAGCAGGGGAUCGCAAGACCUUGCGCUGAUUGAGCGGCCGAUAUCAGAUUAGCUAGUUGGUGAGGUAAAGGCUCACCAAGGCGACGAUCUGUAGCGGGUCUGAGAGGAUGAUCCGCCACACUGGAACUGAGACACGGUCCAGACUCCUACGGGAGGCAGCAGUGGGGAAUUUUGGACAAUGGGGGCAACCCUGAUCCAGCCAUGCCGCGUGAGUGAAGAAGGCCUUCGGGUUGUAAAGCUCUUUCGGCAGGGAAGAAAUCGCAUGGGUUAAUACCCUGUGCGGAUGACGGUACCGGCAUAAGAAGCACCGGCUAACUACGUGCCAGCCGCCGCGGUAAAAC